AACCCAGAUGCCCCACUACAGGUGAAUGGAUCCAAAAUAUGUGGUACCUGUACACAAUGGAAUACUACAUAGUGAUUACAAAUGAUAAAAUGAUGACAUUCACAGGGAAAUAAAUGGUCAAACCUUGAACAAAUAAUGUUGAGCGAGACACGCCUAAAACACAAAGAACAAAGGCGCAUGGUCUCCUUAAUAUGUAAUGGUUUCA